UACGGGGGGGGCAAGCGUUGUUCGGAAUUACUGGGCGUAAAGGGUUUGUAGGCGGCUUGUUAAGUCAGACGUGAAAUCCCUCAGCUUAACUGGGGAACUGCGUCUGAUACUGGCGAGCUUGAGUGCAGGAGAGGAACGCGGAAUUCCAGGUGUAGCGGUGAAAUGCGUAGAUAUAGGAAGGAACACCAGUGGCGAAGGCGACCACCUGGACUGAUACUGACACUGAGGUGCGAAAGCGUGGGGAGCAAACAGG
rnacentral:rRNA from 1 species